GUAGUCCACGCCGUAAACGAUGGAUGCUAGCCGUCGGGGGGUUGCCCUCCGGUGGCGUAGCUAACGCGUUAAGCAUCCCGCCUGGGGAGUACGGUCGCAAGAUUAAAACUCAAAGAAAUUGACGGGGACCCGCACAAGCGGUGGAACAUGUGGUUUAAUUCGAGGCAACGCGAAGAACCUUACCAGGCCUUGACAUGCCCUCUAUGAGACCCAGAAAUGGGUUUCUUCACUUCGGGUGGGAGGAGCACAGGUGCUGCAUGGCUGUCGUCAGCUCGUGUCGUGAGAUGUUGGGUUAAGUCCCGCAACGAGCGCAACCCUCAUCCUCUGUUGCUAACAGGUUAUGCUGAGAACUCUGAGGAAACUGCCGGUGAUAAGCCGGA
rnacentral:rRNA from 1 species